rnacentral:tRNA from 2 species
GCCGAUAUAGCUCAGUUGGUAGAGCAACUCAUUCGUAAUGAGUAGGUCGGGAGUUCGAGCCUCCCUAUCGGCU